rnacentral:rRNA from 1 species
GACGAACGCUGGCGGCGUGCUUAACACAUGCAAGUCGAACGGCAAGGCCCUGCUUUUGUGGGGUGCUCGAGUGGCGAACGGGUGCGUAACACGUGAGUAACCUGCCCUUGACUUUGGGAUAACUUCAGGAAACUGGGGCUAAUACCGGAUAGGAUCUCCUGCUGCAUGGUGGGGGUUGGAAAGUUUCGGCGGUUGGGGAUGGACUCGCGGCUUAUCAGCUUGUUGGUGGGGUAGUGGCUUACCAAGCCUUUGACGGGUAGCCGGCCUGAGAGGGUGACCGGCCACAUGGGGACUGAGAGACGGCCCAGACUCCUACGGGAGGCAGCAGGGGGGAAUAUUGCACAAUGGGCGGAAGCCUGAUGCAGCAACGCCGCGUGCGGGAUGACGGCCUGCGGGGUGUAAACCGCUUUCGCCUGUGACGAAGCGUGAGUGACGGUAAUGGGUAAAGAAGCACCGGCUAACUACGUG